rnacentral:rRNA from 1 species
GACGAACGCUGGCGGCGUGCCUAAUACAUGCAAGUUGAGCGCUGAAGGUUGGUACUUGUACCAACUGGAUGAGCAGCGAACGGGUGAGUAACGCGUGGGGAAUCUGCCUUUGAGCGGGGGACAACAUUUGGAAACGAAUGCUAAUACCGCAUAAAAACUUUAAACACAAGUUUUAAGUUUGAAAGAUGCAAUUGCAUCACUCAAAGAUGAUCCCGCGUUGUAUUAGCUAGUUGGUGAGGUAAAGGCUCACCAAGGCGAUGAUACAUAGCCGACCUGAGAGGGAGAUCGGCCACAUUGGGACUGAGACACGGCCCAAACGCCUACGGGAGGCAGCAGUAGGGAAUCUUCGGCAAUGGACGAAAGACUGACCGAGCAACGACGCGGGAGAGAAGAAGGGUUUCGGAUCGUAAAACUCGGUUGGUAGAGAAGAACGUUGGUGAGAGUGGAAAGCUCAUCAAGUGACGUUAACUACCCAGAAAGGGACGGCUAACUACGUG